rnacentral:misc_RNA from 1 species
CCUCAUCACAGUAUCUUCAUUUCCCAUUUUGUUUAAGCUCUGAGAAAGGGAGUGAUUCACUCUAUUCCGCCCCUCCCCUCUUCAUUCAGCGACCCCUAUGUGAGGGGCAGACGAGCAGCUCCUGUCGCCUGGCAGGCCGUCUUGCUUUUUUCCCUCUUUUUCUUUGCGCGGUGACAUCUUGCCCUCCGACACGCCCCCACCCCUCCCACCAAGGCGCCUGUUGCGCAGCCACAGGUUGUCAUCGCGGCCCACGACACCGCGGUGAUGGAGGAACUGCGCUCACAAGCGCGUUUCACCCGUGGAGUCCUUUGAACAACAGAGAGCCAGCGAACUCGGCAUGGCGCCUCACUUUGUAUGGGAUAGGCUCACAAACGCAGUGCACCGACCCGCCAGCGCGACGGCCAUGACCGUCGCUACCGGGAAUAUCAGUGCGUCCUAUCACGGCGAAGGGUCCCCGUUCGUCAUUGCCCCCGUGCUGUUGGGCGCCCUGCUCACAACUGUAGGUGUGUGUAGGCACUUGAAAACCUGGGGCCUUCACGGCCUCCCUACCCUCAUGAAGCGUAACUCUUGUGCGACGGCACAUCGGGCGCUGCCUUUUUUUCUGCCCAGUUUGGUUUGAUUACCCCCCCCCUCCUCCUCCUCCUCUUCCCGCCAG